GUGCUCACUUUGGCAGCACAUAUACUAAAAUUGGAAUAAUACAGAGAUUAGUGUGGUCCCUGUGCAAGGAUGACAUGCAAAUCUGUGAAGCAUCCUGUUUUUUA
ensembl:snRNA U6 U6 spliceosomal RNA